rnacentral:sRNA from 1 species
UACCGACUUUGCGAAUGAGGGGUUGAU